rnacentral:tRNA from 1 species
ACACUGGUAGCCCACUGCUAGAGUUCUCGCCUUCCAUGUGGGAGACAAGGGUUCAACUCCCAGCCAAUGUA